UACGUAGGGUGCGAGCGUUAAUCGGAAUUACUGGGCGUAAAGCGUGCGCAGGCGGUGGCUCAAGCCAGGCGUGAAAUCCCCGGGCUUAACCUGGGAAUGGCAUUCGGGACUGCAAGGCUGGAGUGCGGCAGAGGAGACUGGAAUUCCUGGUGUAGCAGUGAAAUGCGUAGAUAUCAGGAGGAACACCAGUGGCGAAGGCGGCUACCUGGACCAGCACUGACACUGAAGCACGAAAGCGUGGGGAGCAAACAGG
rnacentral:rRNA from 1 species